rnacentral:rRNA from 1 species
UACGUAGGGUGCGAGCGUUGUCCGGAAUCACUGGGCGUAAAGCGCACGUAGGCGGAUUGUUAAGUCAGGGGUGAAAUCCUGGAGCUCAACUCCAGAACUGCCUUUGAUACUGGCAAUCUCGAGUCCGGGAGAGGUGAGUGGAACUGCGAGUGUAGAGGUGAAAUUCGUAGAUAUUAGGAAGAACACCAGUGGCGAAGGCGGCUCACUGGCCCGGUACUGACGCUGAGGCGCGAAAGCGUGGGGAGCAAACAGG